CUACCAGGCGUCGAGCGGCGGACGGGUGAGUAAUACUUAGGAAUCUACCUAGUAGUGGGGGAUAGCACGGGGAAACUCGUAUUAAUACCGCAUACGACCUACGGGAGAAAGGGGGCAGUUUACUGCUCUCGCUAUUAGAUGAGCCUAAGUCGGAUUAGCUAGAUGGUGGGGUAAAGGCCUACCAUGGCGACGAUCUGUAGCUGGUCUGAGAGGAUGAUCAGCCACACCGGGACUGAGACACGGCCCGGACUCCUACGGGAGGCAGCAGUGGGGAAUAUUGGACAAUGGGGGAAACCCUGAUCCAGCCAUGCCGCGUGUGUGAAGAAGGCCUUUUGGUUGUAAAGCACUUUAAGCAGUGAAGAAGACUCUUCGGUUAAUACCCGGAGACGAUGACAUUAGCUGCAGAAUAAGCACCGGCUAACUCUGUGCCAGCAGCCGCGGUAAUACAGAGGGUGCAAGCGUUAAUCGGAAUUACUGGGCGUAAAGCGAGCGUAGGUGGCUUGAUAAGUCAGAUGUGAAAUCCCCGGGCUUAACCUGGGAACUGCAUCUGAAACUGUUAGGCUAGAGUAGGUGAGAGGGAAGUAGAAUUUCAGGUGUAG
rnacentral:rRNA from 1 species